CCUAGCGGCAGACGGGUGAGUAACAUGUGGGAAUCUGCCUUGUGGUUCAGGACAACAUUGGGAAACCGAUGCCAAUACCGGAUAAGUCCUUACGGAGAAAGUUUUAAUGCCAAAAGAUGAGCCCGCAUUUGAUUAGCUAGUUGGUGAGGUAAAAGCUCACCAAGGCGACGAUCCGUAGCUGGUCUGAGAGGAUGAUCAGCCACACUGGGACUGAGACACGGCCCAGACUCC
rnacentral:rRNA from 1 species